CACGCCCCGUGCGCACCCCUACUCCCCGAAAUCGGAGGCCCCACGGGCCACCCGGGACGAGAAGCGCCGGGCGCAGCACAAUGAAGUGGAGCGUCGGCGCCGGGACAAGAUCAACAACUGGAUCGUCCAACUGUCCAAGAUCAUCCCCGACUGCGGCGCCGACAACAGCAAAACG
rnacentral:lncRNA from 1 species